GCCGUGGGCUCGCGAACCGGAGAAGGAGGAGACGUUCAACGAAUUUGUGCGACGAAUGUGUACGUUGCUUGAAACGAACUUUUUGAUGAAUAAACCCACUUUUGUUUUUUACUUUUUUACUAACAAUUUUCAUUGUUUUGUGUGUGUCAUUUGGUUUCUUAAGUUCGUACUUGGUUUCGUGAAAAUUUCCAAAGCGCAUUAAAUAUUUUCAGCCACAAUGGUGAGAAGCUUGUCAAGGCGAACAAGGACACGCAGUACUGAUACGAAUUAUGAUAAGUGAGUUUUAAAAAAAGUUAAAUGACUUUUCAGUAGUAAAGUAGCUGAAGCUAUUAAAGCUGAAAAAUCCAGCGAAUCUACUUCUCCGCUAUUUAAUUUUGCCGACACUUCCAACCCGUGAAAUGUCGGCUAAAUUUUUCCGCGAAUCAGGAAAAUAUGGCUUGAACUUCCUGAAAUUUUUACUUUUGUAGCAUAAGAUUCGUGAAAAUUAAUUUGAGAAUUAUCUUCCUAGAUUAAAUACAAAUUACAAUUUUUCACAAACGAAACCUACACUGAACACCAAGCACAUGAUUUUUCCUAAAUCGGAAUCCUCGGACUCAUAAUUUCACAAAUCCAGAUUCUCAUGAGAGCAUGCCUCUAAACCUCGAAAUUUUCAGAAUGGAGGAAGAAAGAGUCAACUCUUCGGAAAUGAAGGCUUGUGCCAAAUCCGAUGUUCCAGUACCAGAAGAAGGUGUUCUGAACGAGACGCAAGCCAUCGGUGGAAGCCUCGAAGUUGUGCCUGAAGAGCCAGCAAAUAAGAAUUUGAGAACGGAUAGGCCUGAAGUUUAAAAAAUUCACACACAUUUUUCAUAUUUAUGCAUAUUGUCCAAAUUCCCUAUACUGAUCUCAAUGUCCUUUACCAUUUCUCCCGACUGACGGCCAUGUCGUCGUAGUUCCUUGACAAACAUGCAAUUCCGAUCACUUUAAAGGCGCAUAGGGAGGAAUUUUGUGUCUAACCCGGCAGAUGUCGGAUGUUUAUUUUCAUCCUCUCCUGCUUGAACUUGAAACUUUUUCAAAUGUCUGUAGUCAUUUUAAUGUGUUCUUUCUGUCUUUUUUCAAACUAGUCACGUUUUAUGCUCUUACCAAUCAAUACGACUCACUCGAUUUUUAUAAAUUUGUUUUGAAUUUCGCCCGAAUUUUCAGAUUUCAAGCGCCCGUCAAGUGUCGGUCGUUUUAACAACAUUUGUUCACAUAAUGGUUGGUUUUUUUUCAGUAUUAUAACUAACGUUCAGUAUUAUAACUGAAAAUUCCCGGAACAGUACUAACAUUUUAGAAAUUAGGAUCUUAGAAAUCUAGGACCCCGGUGAGCUGGAAGCCCAAGCCUAUGAAUUUAGGAACUUUAGUUUUGGGGUAGUAGGAAAAAGGUUCGUUCUAUCUAAAAAAAUAACAUUUAUUCCUGUUGAAAAGUUUUUAAAAGUCCACAAAUAGUCCCUAAAAGUUGUAAUUUGCCGAAAAAAACAAUGAUGCACGGCUCUGCUCGGCACCAACGAGAAAUUAUUUUUGUGUGAUGGAGCUUCGAAUCGACAUUGCCAAAACUAAAAAAAACGACAUUGCCAGAAAAAAACCUUUAUUCAAUCAAGGAAGCACAAUGCAUAAUUAGAAUACCUAUAGUUCACAAACAUUGUCCAACAAUCUUCCGAACGGCUCGUUGUAGCCAAUCUUCACGCCUUGUGAACUUGGGAACUUGACAACCACAUUGCUCGACUUUCCUGGCUCAAGCUGAAUCGUGUAGUUGACAACUCUUUCCGGCGUGAUGGUCGCACCGACCGUCGGCUGCACACUUGCCUCGUCGACUUCCAUGGCCUCUGGGCAGUUGAGAAUAACCUGGAAAAUGGGAUUUUUAAACAAAAAAUUUUACAAUUUUUUUAAACGAAAUACAAAAAAGACAAAAAAUGUUUUACCUUGAUUCUCGAAUCCGUUGAUCUGGGCAGCUGCUCACGAAUCGUCAGAAGCACCGAAUUUGGACGAAGAUUGGUGACGACAGUGGCCUUCUCGGUGACCAGAGAGGUGACCUUCUUGUUGUGCUCCUGGUAGUUUCUCUCAGGCUUGUACUGGAUACAGAUGUUCGGGUCUACACCCAGCGAAAUCUCAAACUUCUGUGAAGCAACCACGUCUCCAAACUCCUUCUUGUUCAAAAAUUCACCGUCGAGGAAGAUCGAUGCCUGACCGGCGACGAGAUGAUAAACCGAGGUGUUCACCGAGUUGGCAGCGAGAAACGCAGCGGCAUCCAAUGAUGGGACGGCCACGUUGGAGAGCUUUGUGUCGACAGUGAAUUCUCCGAUGUUCACUUUAUGAAGUAUUGCCAACCAUUUGAUUAGAACAAAACAAAGAACUCAUUGUCAUAAAAAUACUCGAUAAAAGUCGGCGAGAUUUCGUUGAAAAUAAACGCAUUUUUCACUGAUUUUUGAACUUCCCGCAAAACUAAAUCAUGAACUCACCGAAAUACUGAACUUCUUAGGUUUAAUAAUUCACAGAUCUUUAUGAAAUAAUAUUUCCUAUUGAGCACUUAGCUUGAGCACCUAGCUUCAGAUUGUUUCUUCGGGGACUUGUUUCAAAUUUUAAACUCUUUUUAAUUAUAUAACGAAUUUUUUUAAAGUUCUAGAAGCUUCCAGUUGAAUCAAAAAACUGAAUUUUGAGGCAAGUUUUCGUCUAACAUUUUUCAAUUUUUGUCUAACAUUUUUCAUUACGAAAUUGCCAAUAUGUGUUAUCAAAAAGGCAACAGCUUGUGUCCAUUAAUCAUUGUAGCCUGCGCAUCCUACACUCCUCCCCUAUCGGCCCCCGAAAACUUGGCGUUUACCAAUCUUCUAUCAGAGAAUAUUUUCCAUACGUCUUUACUAACUACCUUAUUUUUUAACAAAUUUAAUUUCAUGCCGAACGGAUCCAUUAGAAACUGCGCAAAUGCGGUAGCAGAUACCGUUCGCCAAACGUUCUCCAGAAAGACUUGGGAGCAUAAGGAACAGCUUCAAACUAUUACUGAACAGGUUAGUUCAAGAAUUUGAUUUUUUUUUAAAUUUUAGUGAGAAAUUUGGAUUUCAGAAAAAAUUCUUCCUGCGAAAAGUGCGAUGGCAAAUUGCUAUUCUAGCUCAUUUCGGAUUCGCGAUUUCAUUUGGAAUACGGUCGAAUUUCGGUGUCGCCAAGAAUCGGAUGGUCAAUAAUUUUACAGAUGCAUAUGGAGAAGUUCAUGUGAGUUGAAUAUACACCCGUGAAGUGUCGGAUGCUUCAGUUAACGCUAGCAGUCUUGUAAGCCCUGUUAGCGUGAAACGUCGACUGUUGUCAUAAAUAAAAAGAUCUUUUAUUGAACCGGUUUUUUAAUUUUCAGGAAUCGGGAAUUUCGGCAAUUGCUGGUUUUUUCUAUUUUCAGUAAAUCAGCACUUUCGUAAAUCAGCAAACCCGCGAAUUGUCGGACGCUGGCCGUUUAAUUUCAAACAAUUUUCAAGCUAUAACAAUCAUUAGAACAGUAUUACAUUUCCAGUAGGAUACAAUAGAAAAUGUUCCCCAAACUUGGUCAGAGAACUGGUUUUCCGGUAAUAAAAACUGAUAUUUAAUGUUUUCUUUCUUCUUCAAAAGUUAGAUUCGGGGGGUUAUUCGAUGAAAGGUUAUCUUAUCUUCUUUUUUUUGAACAGAGGGAUCUUUGGAAUCAGAAACUAAAGGAUGAUUACCUGGGAAACGUCGGUCACUUUGUUGGCCAGCAAGCUCCCCGCGAAAUGUCGGCUGCUGAAUUUUUAUAUUGUUUCCAGGAACGUGAAUUCUUGUGGACAGGAGCUGAAGUUGGAAUGAUGGAGAGUUCUUUUUUCUAUGGCUACGCUGCCUCCCAAAUUCCCGCCGGUGUCCUAGCCGCCAAAUUUGCACCGAACAAAAUCUUCAUGCUAGGAAUUCUCGUCGCAUCUUUCAUGAACAUACUCUCCGCGAUUUCCUUCAACUUUCAUCCGUACACUGACAUUUUUGUGAUGGUUGUUCAAGCUGUCCAGGGAUUAGCGUUAGGGGUACUGUACCCUGCGAUGCACGGAGUUUGGAAAUUCUGGGCUCCGCCACUGGAAAGGUCCAAGCUCGCAACCACUGCCUUCACAGGGUCCUCAGUUGGUGUAAUGACUGGGUUACCUGCCUCGGCGUACCUGGUCUCUCAUUUUAGUUGGAGCACACCUUUUUAUGUGUUUGGAGUUGUGGGAAUUAUAUGGUCUCUUAUAUGGAUGUACGUGUCAUCUCAUAGUCCGGAGACUCAUGGAUACAUCAGCGAUGAUGAGAAGAAGCAGGUUACCGAGAAAAUUGGAGAUGUUGCAGUGAAGAAUAUGUCGGUAAGUCCAUAGCGGCAGACGUCUUACAGUCUUGUGACAGAGCCGUAGGGUGACGGCCGCUGUUUGUCCGGCCGAAACUCUCUUCUUACCUCGGUAUUUCAGCUCACAACACUACCAUGGCGUGACAUGAUGACCUCCUCAGCUGUUUGGGCAAUCAUUAUCUGCACAUUUUGCCGCUCCUGGGGAUUCUUCUUGCUCCUCGGAAAUCAGCUGACCUAUAUGAAAGACGUCUUGCAUAUUGAUAUUAAAAACGUGCGUUUUUUCCGAAGUGGAGUAGGGGUACUGUAGGAGUACUGUAGUAGUACAGUACGAUUACUUUAGAUUUGAAAAAAUGAGGAUUUUUGAAACUUCUAAUUUCCUAAUAUGAAGCCCUGGCCAAUUUUUCAAAAAUUUAGAAAUCCCAUCAGGUGUCGGCUGCUAAAUUUAAAGUUACAGAGCGGAUUCAUCUCAAUCUUUCCUCAAUUUGGAAUGUGUAUCGUCACAUUAGCCACCGGUCAACUCUGUGAUUACCUAAGAUCUUCUGGAAAAAUGAGCACAGAAGCCGUCAGAAAAUCAGUGAACACUUUUGGAUUCACAGUUGAAGCAAUGAUGCUAGGAUGUCUGGCGUUUGUUCGGGAUCCUGUGAUUGCGGUGACGUGCCUGGUCAUCGCGUGUACCGGAUCUGGAUCCGUACUUUCUGGAUUCAACGUCAACCAUUUCGAUAUUGCUCCAAGGUAUGCUCCGAUCCUUAUGGGAAUUGCUAACGGGCUCGGAGCAGUUGCAGGAGUUGGAGGAAUGGUAACGAAUACGGUUACCUAUCAGGUAAGGCUUCUGCAGUAUUAAUGUAGUUCCGCGAUACUGUAAGAUUACUGUAGGUUACAGUAGGUUUAGAGUAAAGUUACUGUAGGGUUUCUUUAGGUUACUAUGAGAUAAGUGUAGGGUUACUGUAGAGUUAUUGUAGGAUUACUGUAAUAUAGAUAACUUUGUUGCAGAACCCAGAUGGCUGGAAAUGGGUCUUUCUUUUGGCCAUGGCGAUUGAUAUUUUUGGAGUAAUUUUCUUCCUCAUUUUCGCGAAGGGUGAUGUUUUG
rnacentral:sRNA from 1 species